CCUGCCAUACGAUACCUUAGCACAAAUCACGGAACAAAUCCAGUGUCACGUCAUCUCUUUAGAUCGUUCGGGCUGUAGCCCCAACACCCGAACGACCACGCUCGCGCACUUCUCUCCCUUAUCCUCUCACUCCACCGCACUAGCCUUUCCCCAUUCUCCUAUCCACUCCUCUCCUGGCUACUCCUCGGGCCAGCAGCAGCCGUCGACGGGGAGCGCCGCUCGCCUUGUGGCGCGGCGGAGCAGGCGGCGGAACAGCCGGAGGAUGAGGAAGCUGGUGGAGGCGCGGCGUGACAGCAGCGGUGCGUGGUGGCUCCCCGAGGACGAUGAAGCGAGCGGAGGCGGCGACUCCCAGUCCCAGGCCAGCGCGGAUCAGCGGGGCUCCGACGCCGUGGGAGUUCGUCGUGGACGCCGACGGGUCGCCUGAGGAUAUGGCUCAGACGGAGGUGGCGCGGCGUGAGCACUCGGCGGCUGGGGCACGGCACGAAUGCAGCUGCGUGGUUGCGCCUGGAGUGCGAGGAAGCGGGCGGGGGCAGCGGCGCUGAGGCCCGCUAGACUCCGGUGGAUGUGGCCCUUGGUCGCCGCCGUCCGAUGGUCUCUUCGUCCGACGAAUCAAGGCCGGAUUUGUAGGGUCCAACGGCGCGGGGUGGCUCUGGUGACCUUGCGCAAGGACGGCGCGCGUGGGGAAGACAACCACCAUGGCCAACCUAGUGGCGUCCCUGGGGCUCAGCAAUCACGAUGGGGUUCGAACUUUGCGGCCCGUGACGAGGCGGCCGUCGGCGCCAGAGAUCGACUCCCCUUGUCAACGUCUCCUUCCUAGAAGAAGAGGAGAAUAUUCUUCAGAGAAUUAUGGCGUUUCUUUUGGUUUGUAACCAUCAUCAAUAACACAUGGGCAACUAUUCAGUAAUCUGUGUACCUUACACUACUUCCUCCUGUUUGCACUGAUGUGUGGAUUCCUCAAAUUUUGAAGCAGCCUGAAUGUUACCAUCAGAUUCUAAUUCACUUUGGCAUGUCUCAAAUUCUGUUAUAUUUUUUCCUAGCUGAUUUCUGAGUCAAGUUGUGAUAAAUUUGUUAACUUAGCUACAUACUGAAGUUAGUUUAGUCCCCCUCAAAAAAAGAAGAAGUUAGUUUAGUUUGGUGUGUACCUGAGGUUCUGCUUAAAAUAGUUACUAUUGUAUUAGACAUAUAUUUGACAUCUUAUUUAGCAAGAUAUUCCUCGAGAAUA